CAGGCUUCCAUGCACACACAGUAGAAGGACCAUAGGUUUCUGAAAGACCAUAAGUGUGGGUUACACGGAAACCUUUUUGAGACAUUGCAAAGAGAACAGCAGGGGGUGGGGCAGCGCCGGCCGUCAUUACAUGAACAAUAUGGGGGAGGGGCAGAAUUGUGUCCUCAGGUGGGGCAUUAACUACGGUAUUGAGCACCACAGGUGCAGCACAGAAGUGAGUCACACCAUACUUUGCUAUGGCUGAGUAGACUCCCUUUGCUGUUACCUGCCGAUACAUAAGGAAUGGAAUAACUCUCAAAGUCUCAAUCUCUGAGUUCAAAUCAUGACAAGAUGAAAGCAGAAUAUCAAAAGGCACCAGAGCAUAAUAGGACUACAUUAUACUGAAUACACAACCUCAGAGUUUCAAUAAAAUUAAGCCUAGAACCAGAUCAGAAAUAGAUGAAUAUGGAACAGAAAAGCUAAUUUGUUUCAUAUACUGAAGUGGAUGUAAAGCAAUUAUUUUGCCUACUAAUUACCUGUCGGAGGCAUAUGUUUGUUCCACAAAGAGCUGCGAGUGCCCAAGUAAAACACCAACCAUUACAAUGGAACAUGGGUAGAGUCCACAAGUACACAGCACCUUCAUUCAUCCCCCAUAUAAGAGGAUUACUCAAAGACAUGAGAUAUGCCCCUCGGUGAUGUAAUACCACCCCUUUAGGACUGGCUGUUGUGCCAGAUGUAUAACCCAAAGCAAUGCUUUGCCACUCAUCCUGAGGAG
rnacentral:lncRNA from 1 species